UUUGGGCUAGGAUACUCAUAGAUAUCCCCUAACUAGCUCGACCGUGGUAGUAGCGAGGAACGUGACAUUUCUGAGUUACCUUUGUAGCCCAUAUCCCGUUAGCAGGAUCGAUAGGGUUUAUAGGUGCAGGUCGAACAUCCUUUGUGGUGUCUAGAUUCCGUGAGCCUCCCCAAUAGAACAGUAGAUCAUCCUUACCAAGGUUAGAACGAGAUUACGGUUGUAGUCUUCUCUAUACAUCGCUCACAUCGAGUCACAUUCUUUGUAGCCUAAAGGGUAGUAGCAAUAGAUUUGGUUAGUCAGAUGCACGCUUUCUCCCAGUGGAAAAAAUAUAAAUACGAUACUCUGGAUAACCUCCCGGGUGAAGUGCUCACCGAUAUCCGUGCGCUUGCGGAUCAUUUCCUCAUGGCGUUACCAAAUAUCAACAAGCAUUUCUGGUGCCGUUGCUGGGGGUUUGCUGAGAUAACUUUAAGUCUUGCUAUUAUCUUGUAUUAUACUUUUAUACUUUUAUUCUUUUAUCUUUUUAUUUUUUCCAUCUUUAUGGAUAACUCAAAUUCUACUCCUAUUAUUGAAUUUUUUGCACCUUCGGAGACCAGCCAUAGACCAUGGGAGUCAACAAGUCCUUUCUUUGCCCCUAAUUAUGAUAUGUUCCCGAAGUUGAUUGCAAUAGGUCAAAACCAACCCUUUUCUAUAGCUUAGGUCCUAUCUUUUAAUCAAGAAGAUAAUGAACUUUUAGCAACACCUAGGGAAUCUGUUAAUCUUUCUAUAAAUUCUGGUUUAAACCUAGCCCUACAAGACCAUGUUUUUUCUCGAUAUUUUCACAUUGGUCUUAAUCAUAUAACCUUUGGUAGAGUUUUUCUUUCUUUAUCUGUUAGUAAAGCAAGGUAUGUCUUCAUUCGUGGACAUCCUUCUUGCACUAGUCUUCAUAGAAAAAUCCUAGAGAUAGAGAAGGAAUCAUCUCCCAGACAAGGAAAGGAAGUUUCAAUAGCCGAUUUCCAAACAUUUCAAUCCCAUGAUUCGGCUAUCCAACCCAAACUUGUAGUGCUCCAAAAUAAUCUAAGAGAAGAAGAAAUUCUACCUUUGAAAAUUCAUUUUGGGAUGAGCUUAAACUUUCUGCUUCAUAAGAGACCUUUGAGUGCAUAUAGUCUGAACCUUCCUAAGAAGGGAUCUCUUAGAAAGCAUCUCAAAUCUAAUCCCUUUGAUGGACAUCUAGAAAGACUCAAGGAUGGCAUCUUAAGUGAUGCAAUAGAAGGAGAGCGAAGCCAUUUAGAAGACAAUCUCAUCUUCUCCCCUUCUACGCCCACUUUUGAUGACUCAUUCGAACCUAUCUUUAAACCCAUCCUUGAGCUUAAUGAUUUCUACUCUGCUCUUUCUCUUGAACCUCCCGAUGAUCCUAUGAAUCUCUCUAGACAUCACAUGCAUAAGAGUCACCAAGACCAUAAGGAGGAUCGAGAAGAGCAACAUCAAUGGCUAGAGGGCAUUAAAAAUCCAUGUGCUAUCACCAUUGAAUGGAUGGACAAGGAAGAAGCCUUAAUGGAUUCUGACUUUGGCUCAAUUUCAAAUGGUGAGUUCUUAACUCCCUUUGAAGAUGAGAUUCAUCCAACUACAGAAGAGGACAUAGGCGAGACCAAUCUAGGAGAAACUCCGAACAUUCAGAUUGGAGACGAAGAUAACAUUAAUGAGCAUGGAAUUUAUUUCAUAGCCACUUCGUUUACUCCAUGCUCAUAUGAAACAUCUUCCCAAUCUAUUGGUCUCUCCAACAUCACCACAUUUGAGAUCUCCCACCCCCUCUUCCUUUCUAUUUAUAAAAACUUUAAAAGGGCGGUUGUCGAUGCAUAUGUCUAUAAUAAAUAUUGCAGAUCUCGUUGGGUUGAUCUUGAUAUAGGUCAGCGUUGGAGGGGAAACCACUUCGCCGACAUAAAUUGAUGGUUUCCCAAGGACAAGCUUAGUGUCCUAAAACAAGCACUGAUCAGAUCGUAACAUGAGCUGUUAAUUAUUUGCAACAUUACCUUGUGUAUUGAGCAUAUAAGGAUAAUUGUAAAAAUAUUCCUUCGGGUAUUCUUGUCACUAACCUUUCUAGGAUUGGAGCAAGAAGAUCGGAUGAAUGACAAGCACAAGGUAUGUCCAACCAACCAUCAUACAACAUUGAAUUAAAUUCAUCCAAACUUGAAUUUUGUAAAAUUCAAGCUUGGGCGAGUACUUUACAUAAAAACAUCAUUUGCCAUGUUGCUAUGUUGGUUGUCCCUACCUUUGAGACAUACUCAAUUUGUUAAAUACUAAUCACACUACUUCAUCUCCACUUGAGUAGAUCUCUAUAAAUGCUCUCAUGCUACCUUUAUUUGCUUUAGUAUAUGUCUAGGUUUGGAGUAGUUUCAUUUAUCUCUUAAUUAAGCAUGGUGCUUAGUUUAGGAAUGAUGAUCUUACUUCCAAGGGUUUUUAAAUUAAGCAUGGUGCUUAGGUUAAAAUGCCCUCCUAAAUCAAAUUAGACAUGGUGUCUAGGUUGAUUUUUGAGCCGAUAGUUUGCUAUACGAUAUGGGAUAUUUUGUUGGACUAACCCCUGCAGGAAAACUUUCAAUAUCGACCUGGGAAGUCUUGAGAUAAACUCACAUUGGAGACAAAGAGAGAGACAAAUGAAGGUUAACAAUUUACACAAGGAAGGCAUAGCUCACAAGAGAUGAUCCAUGGAGGGUGCCAUAAACACGAUACACAACCGCUAAGAAAGGAAAGUUUCCACAAGGUGAUACUGUACCAUCACUCUUCAAGUAAGGUAACAUCUUAAGGUACUUGACUAUCGCUUUUAUAAGCUUCUCCUUGGUUCUGGCGUUCACAUGAAUAAAAGAGACAAACAUGUAUGAUUUGUAGCUCCAAAUUAACCAACCCAAUUAAUUCAGCAUGUUUAGUCCUUUAAUCUUUGUUCUUGGUACUACCUUCAUGAUCCCACACUCCUAAUCAUAUAAGCUAAAAUGUUGCACAUUCAAUCUUUGGAAGAUAUAAACAAAACAUAAAUAUAGAUAGAUUAUCUUUCCAUUAGGUCGAGCGAUCCGAUCUGACAAAUGUUUUAAAUGCUACACUAAUGAUCUUAUUAUCCAUCAACUUUGUCUUGCUCACUAUGCUUGAGGUUAGAGAAGAACAAAUACACUUUUGGUUCUGUUGGUGUUUUUCACCAACAGGGCCCAUGCACUUGAUCUCUGCCUUGUCUUUAUGAGCAGGAACACUUCGAGCAAAACCUGAAGAAGUUUUACAACUCCUAGAUUCUUCCAAGUGAAGGACCUAGAUCUACGAGACAAACACACUGGAGAUACUCGACAAUUAGGCAAUCACUGCCCUGAGAUGCUUGGUGACGUAAAUUCAAUCAACAACAACUACUACUACAACCGUCCUCAAUAAAAUCAAGGUUGGAAUCAAUAGAGGCCUAACUACUCAGCUUGCAAAUUGGACACUAAGUUUCCCAAAGGAAAUAUUGAAGAACCUCUGCGUCCGAGUUGGUACCUUGUACGCUCCAGUAGACUUCAUGGUGAUAGAGACUGGUAUUGAUGAGAGGGCACCCAUCAUCCUAGGGAGGCCAUUCCUGAACACCUCGAGAGCUGUCAUCUACGCUAGUGUUGCGAAGAUCAGUUUCUACAUCAAGGGGAAGAAGGAGACUUUCCUUCAAGAACAAGACUACACAAAUUUUAGAGCAAUCCUGACAUGAACCAAGGAAGAGGACCAACAGGAGGAACAGGAACAAGCAAAUGUGGACCGAGUCACCUAAGAUGGUCACUGCAGCUCAAGGAGGUCAAGAUCGUCGACUUAAGUCACCAUUCUUGAACAAAAAAGGACGACCUAGGUUAUUGAUAUGGGAGAAGACGAGUACGAUCCACCCAUCAUCCUUGGGAGACCGUUCCUCAUCACCGUUAAAGCAAUCAUCUACAUUGGAACCGGAGAAGUCCACAUGCACUUCCCCUCUGAGAAGACGACGCAACUACAACCAGAGGAGGCAAAUCAUCAAGGAUGGAUGGGCAGACUACGAAGGAGAAGUGGUAAGGUCUAAAGACAUACAGCUUGAACAGAACUGUCCUAAGGAGACUGUAGCACCGAGUCAGGUGUGGAGAGAGAAUAAAGUUAUACACGAAGAGGAGGCACCACUGGAACCACCGACUACGCCAUCCAGCGAAUCCUAGGACGACUGAGAAAACGGAGAGUCCCAUUCGGAGGACUUAAAAACACCGAACACAUUGCCAAGAGGAAAACUUGGUAGUUAUCCUUUUCCCUUCAAUUAUUUAAAAUAGUUUGCUUAGUUAAUCAGGUUCAUAUUAUCUCAAAAAGAAAAUAAAAAUGUUAAAAAUAGUAAGCCCCAUGUGAGUAUGCUCAUGGCAUAAAACCCACAAGUACAUUCACUGUGGUGGCGUAAAAAUAAAAUAAAUAUUCCUAUCCUAUAAAAAUAAAAAUAUAAAAACAAAUUUAUGAUCCUACUAAAGAGAGUAACAUUUAUUAGGAGGAAUCUCAAUAGGAUAAAGGCUAAGAGAUUUUAUGCUAACACUUAACCAGUUCCACAAAGCUUUGUUGUAUAUUUGAGCUCCACAGAAUUCAAGGAUCAAAGAAGACUAGCAGACGGAGGACAUCCUAGUCGCUGUCAGGGUGCUGCCGACAUUCAAAUAGACCUCCGCCACCUGCUAGCUACAUCAGAAGAAAUUACGUCAAAAUCCAGCUUGGGGGAGAGCACCCCCAUUUAUCCAGCUAAGUGUUUCUACUCGCAUUUAUACUUUAUUCAAAUAAUAAAAAAAGAUGCAUAAUCAUAAAAACCCAAAUAAAGAUUUCGUGCUUUUAUAUAUAUCUUUGCUUAGUUUGUUAAAGAAAUAAAUAAAUAAAAUUUGCUAUGAACCCUCAUAAUAAGCUCUCACAUGGAAAUGAUGAAUAGUUGCUCUGUCAUGACUAGUUCUCAAAAAAUUAAAAUCUCUCUCAAGUUUAGGCAUGACUGUUAUGAAUUAAGAUUUGCUCUAAACAUGAACUUGUGGGAAGAGUACUUGAUCUAAAGUCUAAGUCGUUAACGGAUAUGAUAUCGGAAGGUUGAGCUGCUGUUUAUCUGUUUCUAGAUAUGCUAGAAUUCUUUAGAAUUUUAUCUUUCAAAAUCUUUAAAAUGUUGCAUGAUGAGUUCCUGUAUGAUGAGAGUUUAAAUUCCUACCACAGCCAUAUAUACAUGCUUGCUAGACUUUGAGCCACAUAUUUAUUUUUACUGCUUAUGAGCAUUGAUUGUGGUCAAGCUGUGUAGACCCUUAGGAGCUUGUCAUGCGGUUAAAAUCAAGAUUCACUUGCACGUUCACUCAUACAUGAUACUUCUACUCUGGAAGUACGCAUCCACAUACAUCCACUCAUUUUCUUCUCCAGAUUCACUCAAAAUUAUUCUACUCCUAUUCGGAUGAGAAUAGCCAAAAACAUUAUCCCAUUCCUAUUUUCCCUGUGAAAUAAAUGCUCGAGUUAUCUUGAUUACUACCACUUGCUAUAUUAUUUCAGGAGAUGAGUGCUCUAAAAAAAGAAGAGAAACAAUACGAGGAAAUAAAAAGGGGCAAGUGCCCGGAACCUCGAAGAAAAGAAAAAUGAGACGAGAGGUAAAAAUGGACAAGUGUCCGACAGUAGAAUUAAGGGUACAAGAUACCCACCUGAGAGAAAAGAAAAAUAAAAUAUAGAGAAUCUCAUUCUCCUCAAAAAAGCUUCAAAGUGCAAGAAAGGUAUGUAUCCCCUUAAAAGAGCAAAAGUAGAAUUAGACUUUCACCAUUGUUAUCACCAUCAUCACCAUACACCAUUCACUCGCCACACAUGCACAUCUUGAUUUGACUUAUUGACUGGUUCUUCUAGAUCCAUGGUUUGACUAUGCAAUAAAUGUCUUGUAAGUAUGUAUGCUUUAUCUCCCACCUAUGAGCUCCAGAUAUCAAAACCUUAUUAGAGUAGGGUGAGAGAGAAGGCAAUAUCACUAUGCCUCAUACCAAAAAUACCACAUACUUUAAGAGAAGGCAUAUACUAUUACUGCCUUGGAAAGGAUCCAGAAAUACCACAAAAAAGAGAUUUGAGAGGGUCAUACAAGGAAUCUCUGAGUUUUAUUUGGAAAUCUACAAAAACUCCAGAGCUAUAGUUAAUCAAAGAACAAGAGACAUGGCACUUGACUAGACCGUUCUAUCUUUUAACUGCUCAAGACAGAAGUGACAGUUACAAGCCCCAUGGUGAAAGAUAAAAUGAGUAAGUUUUAAGUCUUAACAGUUUACUCUAACUCAGAGAUGAGAUCUUGCUUGAACGCAUGUGUACUUUUAAGGCAUGAAACCACUGCAGAAACUCUUGAGUCCAUCCUUGCUCAGGGACGAGCAAGAGGUAAGCUUGGGGGAGUUGUUGACGGUCCUUACGUACCAAAUAUAAUCAUCAAAUAAAUAAAGAAAAGGAUCCAAAUGCAACCAACACCCAGACUUAGGGUUUUAUCUGACAGAAUUCCACGAGUUUCGGUGUUUGUCUAUUUCUGCAGGGUGUUAUCAGGAAAUAUGGAGGAAAGGCCCACAUGUCGGGUUUACAUAGAGAUAUUAAUGUGCCGUGCAAUUUUCUAUCAUCUAGAAGAGUCCAGAAGCUACGGGAACGAACGGGAAGGCGAUCGGGCCUAGGGGCAGGGUGCCCGCCCUCCCCCCUUGGGCGCCCGCCCAGGUGUUGUGGCCAAUCACGUUCAAUCUCGCGGAUUAUGCUCCACCGACCUAAAGGAUCAAGGAUAACCGUUCAAUCAAUGUCGGUUUGAUCCGACAGCCCACGUUCACCUAAGGGGACUAUAUAAGCAGACCCCCUGGCCCCUAGAGGAGAACAAGUUCAUUAUAGAGUUGACAGGUGCCCUCGAAGGAUAACCUUUCCUCUACAUAGACUUAGGGCUUAGCAUCCAAUGUGAGAGUAGACUAGUUCUACUAGAUUGAGAGAGAUAGAGUGGAGGUGUAGAUCGGAGGAAGCCCGGCCUGUCGGUGUCUACUCCGAGUUUUACCUGCGGGAUCAAGUCUCCUAACCCGAGGCUUGCUCCUAGGAUUCUUCAGUAUUUCGACUUCUAAAUUCUAGUAAGUUCUUGUUUUAUUAUUCUUUGGUUUAUGAGUUUACUUUGAUCUCAUCGCGUAGAGUUUAGAGUAAUCAUCUCUAGCGUAAACAUGGUGUUUGGGCUAGGAUACUCAUAGAUAUCCCCUGACUAGCUGGACCGUGGUAGUAGCGAGGAACGUGACAUUUCCGAGUUACCUUUGUAGCCCAUAUCCUGUUAGCCGGAUCGAUAGGGUUUAUAGGUGCGGGUCGAACAUCCUCUGUGGUGUCUAGAUUCCGUGAGCCUCCCCAACAGAACAGUAGAUCAUCCUUACCAAGGUUAGAACGAGAUUACGGUUGUAGUCUUCUCUAUACAUCGCUCACAUCGAGUCACAUUCUUUGUAGCCUAAAGGGUAGUAGCAAUAGAUUUGGUUAGUCAGAUGCACGCUUUCUCCCAGUGGAAAAAAUAUAAAUACGAUACUCUGGAUAACCUCCCGAGUGAAGUGCUCACCGAUAUCUGUGCGCUUGCGGAUCAUUUCCUGAUGGUGUUACCAAAUAUCAACACAUACCUUCCUUCCACUUUGAAGCUUUUUGAGGAGAAUGAGAUGCUCUAUAUUUUAUUUUUCUUUUCUCUCAUGUGGGUAUCUUGUAUCCCUAAUUCUACUGUCGGACACUUGUCCAUUUUACCUCUCGUCUCACUUUUUCUUUUCUUUGAGGUUCCGGGCACUUGCCCCUUUUUAUUUCCUCGUAUUCAUUUUUUUUCAGAGCACUCACCCUCCUAGAAUAAUGUAGCAAGUGGUAGUAACCAAAAUAUCUCGAGCAUUUAUUUCACCGGGAAUAACAGGGAUAGGAUAAUGUUUUUGGCUAUUCUCUCCUUGAUAGGAGUAGAAUAAUUUUGGGUGAAUGUGGAGAUGGAAAGGAGUGGAUGUAUGUGGAUGCGUACUUCCGGAGUAGAAGCAGCAUGUAUGAGUGAACGUGCAAGUGAAUCUUAAUUUUAACCGCAUGACAAGCUCCUAAGGGUCUACACAGCUUGACCACACUCAAUGCUCAUAAGCAGUAAAAAGUAAAUGUAUGGUUCAUAGUCUAAUAAGCAUGUAUAUAUGGCUGUGGUAGGAUUUUAAACUCUCAUCAUACAGGAACUCAUCAUGCGACAUUUUAAAGAUUUUCAAAGAUAAAAUUCUCUAGAAUUCUAGCAUCUCUAGGAACAGAUAAACAGCAGCUCAACCUUCCCAUAUCGUAUCUGUUAACGACUUAGACUUUAGAUCAAGUACUCUUCCCACAAGUUUAGGUUCAGAGCAAUUCUUAAUUCAUAACAGUCAUGCCUAAACUUGAGAGAGAUUUCAAUUCUGAGAACUAGUCAUGGCAGAGCAACUAUUCAUCAUUUCCAUGUGAGAGCUUAUCAUGAGGGUUCAUAGCAAACUUUAUUUAUUUAUUUAUUUAGCAAACUAAGCAAAGAUAUAUAUAUAUAUAAGCACUAAAAUCUUUAUUUGGGUUUUUAUAAUUAUGCAUCUUUUUAUUAUUUGAGUAAAGUAUAAACGCGAGUAGAAACACUUAGCUGGAUAAAUAGGGGUGCUCUCCCCCAAACUGGAUUUUGAUGUAAUUUCUUCUAAUGUAGCUAGCAGGUGGCAGAGGUGUAUUUGAAUGUCAGCAGCACCCUGAUAGCAAUUAGGAUGUCCUCCGUCUGCUAGUCUUCUUUGAUCCUUGAAUUCUAUGGAGCUCAAAUAGACAACAAAGCUUUGUGGAACUAGUUAAGUGUUAGCAUAAAAAUCUCUUUGCCUUUAUCAUGUUGAGCUUCCUCUAAUAAAUAUUACCGUCUUUGGUAGGAUCAUAAAUUUAUUUUUAUAUUUUUAUUUUUAUAGGAUAGGAAUAUGUUUAUUUUAUUUUUACGCCACCACAGUGAAUGUACUUAUGGGUUUUAUGCCACGAGCAUACUCACAUGGGGCUUACUAUUUUUAACAUUUUUAUUUUCUUUUCAAGAUAGCAUGAUUAACUAACAAGCCAUUUAAGAAAAGUAAAUAAUUUUAAGGGAAAAGAGAAUGGAGAAAGGAUAAAUAUGGAUAACUACCGAUUUUACCUUUCGGCGAUGGUUCAAUGUUUUAAGUCUUCUGAACAAGACUUCUCACCGUGUUUAUUCUUCAAGUGCAUCAUUUGAUUCAGGUGUGGACCUUGACGUCUGCACCUCUUGAUACGGUGUCAUCCAUGUUCUUCGUUUGCCCAGCAGUUCAAAGUACGGCGUUGGCAGCAUCCUGCUCAGUGUGUUUGUGCUCAUAGAUCUAGGUCCUUCACUUGGUGGAGUCUGGGAGUUGUAAAACUCCUCCAUGUUUUGCUCGAAGUGUACCUACUCAUAGAGACAAGGCAGAGAUCAAGUGCAUGGGCCCUGUUGGUGGAAAACACCAACAGAACCAGAAGUGUAUUUGUUCUUCUCUAACCUUAAGCAUAGUGAGCAAGACAAAUUUGAUGGAUAAUAAGAUCAUGAGUGUAGUAUUUAAAACAUUUGUCAGAUCAGAUCGCUCAAUCCUAAUUUAAAGAUGAUCUAUCUAUAUUUAUGUUUUUUUAUAUAUCUUCUAAAGAUUGAGUGUGCAACAUUUUAGCUCAUAUGGUUAGGAGUGUGGGAUCACAAAGUGGAAGGACUAAACAUGUUGAAUCGAUUGGGUUGGUUAACCUAGAGUUGUAAAUCAUACAUGUUUGUCUCUUUUAUUCAUAUGAACGCCAGAACCAAGGAGAAGCUUAUAAAAGUGAUAGUCAAGUACCUUAAGAUGUUACCUUACUUGAAGAGUGAUGAUACAAUAUCACCUUGUGGAAGCUUUCCUUUCUUAGCGGUUGUGUAUCGUGUUUGUGGCACCCUCCAUGGAUCAUCUCUUAUGAGCUAUGUCUUCCUUGUGUAAAUUGUUGAACUUCAUGUGUCUCUCUCUUUGUCUCCAAUGUGAGUUUAUCUCAGGACUUUCCAGGGCGAUAUUGAAAGUUUUCCUGCAGGGGUUAGUCCAACAAAAUAUCCAAUAUCUACUAUAGUAUACUAUCGGCUCAAAAAUCAACCUAGAUACCAUGUCUAAUUUGAUUUAGGAGGGCAUUUUAACCUAACCACCAUGCUUAUUUUAAAAUACCUUGGAAGUAAGAUCAUCAUUCCUAAACUAAGCACCAUGCUUAUUUAAGAGAUAAAUGAAACUACUCCAAACCUAAACAUAUACUAAAGCAAAUAAAGGUAGCAUGAGAGCAUUUAUAGAGAUCUACUCAAGUGGAGAUGAAGUAGUGUGAUUAGUAUUUAACAAAUUGAGCAUGUCUCCAAGGUAGGGACAACCAACA
rnacentral:lncRNA from 1 species